GUUCAUGUAGCUUAAUAGAUAAAGCAAGGCACUGAAAAUGCCUAGACGGGUUGUAUAACUCCAUAAACA
rnacentral:tRNA from 1 species